UACGUAGGUGGCAAGCGUUGUCCGGAAUUACUGGGUGUAAAGGGCGUGUAGGCGGGAAGAUAAGUCAGAUGUGAAAUCCCAGGGCUUAACUCUGGAGCUGCAUCUGAAACUGUUUUUCUUGAGUACUGGAGAGGAAAGUGGAAUUCCUAGUGUAGCGGUGAAAUGCGUAGAGAUUAAGAAGAACACCAGUGGCGAAGGCGAUUCUCUGGACUGUGACUGACGCUGAGGCUCGAAAGCGUGGGGAGCAAACAGGAUUAGAUA
rnacentral:rRNA from 1 species